rnacentral:lncRNA from 1 species
AUCUUUCAUGAAUACCAUUCACAAUCCCCUCAGUAAUCCCAGCUUUACCUAUCUUCAAUUUUUUCCUUAACCCAAUCCCAAGUGUCCUCAGCCUCCUCAAUUCUUCAGCUGGCAAAGUCAGUUCAGCUAAACUAGGUGCUCUCUCUUUCUUCUUAUCCUUAUUCUUCAGCCUUUCUUUCUCCUUCUCCUUUAAAAAAUUACCCCUCAGUUCAUGAAACUUCUGUAUACUGUUCCCACCAAGUGUCCUCAGCCUCCUCAACUCUUCAGCUGGCAAAGUCAGCUCAGCUAAACUAGGCGCUCUCUCUUUCUUCUUGUACUCAUCCUCUUUAUUCUUCAACCUUUCUUUCUCCUUCUCCUUUAAAAAAUUAUCCCUCAGUUCAUGAAAUUUCUGUAUACUGUUCCCUAAACCGGGCUGUGGUACCGGGUUUUCGG